rnacentral:tRNA from 1 species
GCAGUGGUGGUUCAGUUGUAGGAUUCUUGCCUUCCACGCUGAAGACCUGGGUUCAAUUCCUGGCCAAUGCA